rnacentral:rRNA from 1 species
AUGAACGCUGGCGGCGUGCCUCAUACAUGCAAGUCGAGCGAACGGACGAGAAGCUUGCUUCUCUGAUGUUAUCGGCGGACGGGUGAGUAACACGUGGAUAACCUACCUAUAAGACUGGGAUAACUUCGGGAAACCGGAGCUAAUACCGGAUAAUAUUUUGAACCGCAUGGUUCAAAAGUGAAAGACGGUCUUGCUGUCACUUAUAGAUGGAUCCGCGCUGCAUUAGCUAGUUGGUAAGGUAACGGCUUACCAAGGCAACGAUGCAUAGCCGACCUGAGAGGGUGGUCGGCCACACUGGAACUGAGACACGGUCCAGACUCCUACGGGAGGCAGCAGUAGGGAAUCUUCCGCAAUGGGCGAAAGCCUGACGGAGCAACGCCGCGUGAGUGAUGAAGGUCUUCGGAUCGUAAAACUCUGUUAUUAGGGAAGAACAUAUGUGUAAGUAACUGUGCACAUCUUGACGGUACCUAAUCAGAAAGCCACGGCUAACUACGUG